GAACUGGCAGGGAAAGAUCAUGCCGAUUGUCUCUAGCAUGGCAAUGAAAGGAACCAUCCAAGAUGUAGGACGAGAGGGAGGCGCAUGGAUCACAGAGCCCACACGUCACAAGUGAAAUACCAUUACUUUCACCCUUUUCCAUUUGCUCGGAUAGGCUUUACAGUGUUCCUUCAUCAUGCAGAGCUUUAUCUGCAUGUCCAGUACAUGAAGGCCUAUUGAUGCUCUUGGCUUGCAGAGUUUCCAGCAAGAGGUGUCAAAAGUGUCCACAGAGAUAAUUAGCUUGUGGUGGCUAAACGUUCAUAGCGACGUAACUUUUCGACCCAUCAAUGUUGGCUCUUCCUACGACUGUGAAGCAGAAUUCACGAAGUGUUGAAUUCUUUGCCCACCUGACUAGGUUUUCAAUAAUUGUAAGACAGAUUAGUUUCACCCUCCAAACGACUGUCAUUGCAGUAGGAAAGCUGCUCAGUAUGAAAGGAACUGCAAGUUCACAUGUAUGACACACAGUGGCUGCCCAGGGGCCCUGGGGUGCAAGACUACCACCUGUAGAAAAACGCCUGAACACCUGUAAUGCUGAUUCCCGAAUGGUCAAGACGAUGUCUCGCGGAAGUUGCAACAAUCGAGAGGCUCUAAACAAAGAUGGGCAAAGAGAAUUUUUGGUCACACCAUCAAGGUGUGAUGUCCACACCUUCGCCUGAGUGAUUUCAGUGACCAGUUUCUUAAGAAGUGAUCACCUUACUAUGAUAGAAAAAUAUUGAACCUCUAAAAGCCACGCUACUCAGUAAAUAUAUCUGAUUAUUAUUCAUUCACACUAUUCAAUGAGUAACCGAGUUUUACAAUUAUUUUAUGCUUCU
rnacentral:ncRNA from 1 species